AGGCACUGAAUGUCUAUCAAGUAUUUACCACGGUCAAGUUCCGAUGGAGUGGGUACAUUGGUGUCAACCACAGGGCAAGUUGUUGGAUCCCUCAGGAAGUGGCUGGAGCUGAAACAAUGCUGUAAGCUCAUUUCCAGAAGAAAAGUCUUUAUGAAAUUAAGAAUCAAAAAGUGAUGUCAAGGACACUCAUUCGACAGGAUACCCAGGACCACUCAAGAGUCAUUACACCAUGAGGAAAGCAGCAUUGUAUACCAGUGCCAGCUAUAUGAAGGGAGAAUCAAAGGUGAUUAAGAUGCAGAUUCCAUCUUCAAGGAAUUAUGAUUUGUAAAACCUAUGAGAGAGAGAGAAACUCAAACCAGAGUUAUCAAGUCUGCAAACUGAGAUCGAAGGAAACACCGGCUUGGCAAAGGAAGUGUCCUCUGCCUGAGGUCUGCAAUCAGAGUUGAACGAGAGGCCCACAGUCAAAGCCUCCAAGCUACAAGAGUGACCACUGCUUCUGCGCUUGCAACCAAAGCAGCAAUAAGAGGUGUCUGUAAAACUGCAGCCUUAACAGGAUUUAAGACGGAAGGUGCAUCUACUGGCAAUGACAAGAUUGAGGAUGUACCUUCCCAUUGGAGUCGUUAUUUCAAACAUCCUCAAGACAUCUGCCUUGAAGUUGAGAGUGUUGGAGAGAACACCAAAGUCAAAACUAAAAGAUGAAACUCUUCAGGCUUUAGAAUUAUCUACCUAUGGGAGAGCCGGAGUAGUACCAUGCUUUUUAGAAAAGACAUAAUGCCGCCGCAGCAGCCCAGGACUAUGGCCAUGAAAAUUCUCC
rnacentral:lncRNA from 1 species